AUGGGUCUCAAACUUCAAGGUACAUCUGCAAUAGUUUUAAUGUUGUGUAGGGUUUACAUGUAUUGAAAUGACUCCCCGUCACGUUGCACUUCAUGGUCGCUGUAUUGAGUGUACUGUCUCCGUUUGACCCCCAGGGAGACCCACUUUCUGUUUCAUCCAGCAUCCACAGACAAGACAGACAGAGACACAGAAUACAAAGGGUGGUGCGACUUUAGAGAGAAUGUGGAGAUAACCGGAGGGGCCCUGAAGCAGCAGGGGACCUGACCCAAGUGUGUGGAGUGAAACUCAGCCUGACACGACAUGUCACUGGGGGUGGAGCAGUUCAAGAACCCGACAGUGUCAUGGCUGACACUGGAGAAGGAGACGAGCCUCGGAAUGAAGGGAGCAAAAAAGGAAAGCAGAAGACUGAACAAACCCAAUACUCCAGUGAAGACCGAGAGCUGUGCACAGGAUUUGAGAGCAGCUUUCCGGGAGAAGAGGGAUUUUGCUGCCAUCGACAUUCAUGCUGCCGGCUUCUGACAAGUUGUGAUAUUUUGAUAUUAUGCCAGGAAGUGUCGUGACCACUACCCUCGGGAAUGAAGCAACAGUGUUCAGGUGGGAUGGUGACGCAUCGGCUCAAGCAGGCGUCUUAUUAGCUGAGCGCUAACAGGCAGCCUGUGUUCCCGAGGGGGCUGAAUGCUGCUGAAUCAUCCUGUACAAGCUGAACAAUUGCAGCCCAGAGGAAAACAUUCAGCAGCUGAGGAGCUCCAGCGCAGACAGGUGAUUCCCUUCUAAUGGAUGUUAAUGCGGUGGACAUGGCUGAGGAUAUUCCCAGUGGUGUACACUUACAGUUAAUUGAUAAUUGAGGUCUAUGAAAAGAUGCACAUUAAAUCAUGGCCAAUGAGCCUGCCUAUACGGUUGCAGCAAUUCAAAGAACAACUCUCAAGAGUCUCUUAAGGUUUCCCACAACUGUAAUGCACUUUGAAUUAAUAAUUAAGGCGGAAAUAUGCUUUACUCAUAUUACCUUACCUUAAGACAUUACUAUUUCAAACAUGUAGCAUAUGCAUAAUGUUGAAAUGCAUAAACACUUUCACCUCCGCCAACUCCAGGUUGCUUUCUUGAUAUCUCCUUAUGUUACUGUUUGAUCUGUGAGUUUCCUAAUGAGCCCAUGUGUUCAGAUGUGAAUCUGUGAUUUGCUCGAAUCUAAUUUUUUGUCGUAUUUAUCAUUAAUAAUCUGCAACAUGUUGCACAUAAAACAUAUACCUGUUUUUCUGCUCUUUGCUCCCAACUGAUACCAAAUCAUAGAGAUGUAUCCCACAGUAGAGGCAUUCACCAUAUUCAGUUUAUGUUUACAGGUGCAAAAGAUAAAUACAUAUUUAAAUCAUGUACCGCUUCAGUGCAUUUAUCAUUUAUAAUGAUUUGUAGCUGGGCCUGGGAACUAUGGUUAUAAACGUUACAUUAAUACGGAUAUUUCUUCAAAAUCAAUGUGUAUGGUAACAUAAAUGUAUGACACGUAAAAUCCCAAAUACAAUUAACUGAUAUUUUGUGCGAUGAACUGUGUUCCACUGUAUUAUGGAUGUAAAACGAGCACAGUUAGCUUGGAAUCAUUAAUUUUAACAACAUCAUUGUAUAACUAAUUUCAUUAUCAUAUCAUAAUGUGCAGCGUAUAUCCUUGCUUUUUAUGUAUUUAAAUUUAAAUGAUCUUCUAUUGUGUAACUGCACUGCUGUGCAGAUUGCCCCC